rnacentral:rRNA from 1 species
UAUCUACAGGCUUAACACAUGCAAGUCGAGGGGCAUCAGGAAGAAAGCUUGCUUUCUUUGCUGGCGACCGGCGCACGGGUGAGUAACACGUAUCCAACCUGCCCUUUACUCGGGGAUAGCCUUUCGAAAGAAAGAUUAAUACCCGAUAGCAUAAUGAUUCCGCAUGGUUUCAUUAUUAAAGGAUUCCGGUAAAGGAUGGGGAUGCGUUCCAUUAGGUUGUUGGUGAGGUAACGGCCCACCAAGCCUUCGAUGGAUAGGGGUUCUGAGAGGAAGGUCCCCCACAUUGGAACUGAGACACGGUCCAAACUCCUACGGGAGGCAGCAGUGAGGAAUAUUGGUCAAUGGGCGCUAGCCUGAACCAGCCAAGUAGCGUGAAGGAUGAAGGCUCUAUGGGUCGUAAACUUCUUUUAUAUAAGAAUAAAGUGCAGUAUGUAUACUGUUUUGUAUGUAUUAUAUGAAUAAGGAUCGGCUAACUCCGUGCCAGCAGCCGCGGUAAUACGGAGGAUCCGAGCGUUAUCCGGAUUUAUUGGGUUUAAAGGGAGCGUAGGUGGACUGGUAAGUCAGUUGUGAAAGUUUGCGGCUCAACCGUAAAAUUGCAGUUGAUACUGUCAGUCUUGAGUACAGUAGAGGUGGGCGGAAUUCGUGGUGUAGCGGUGAAAUGCUUAGAUAUCACGAAGAACUCCGAUUGCGAAGGCAGCUCACUGGACUGCAACUGACACUGAUGCUCGAAAGUGUGGGUAUCAAACAGGAUUAGAUACCCUGGUAGUCCACACAGUAAACGAUGAAUACUCGCUGUUUGCGAUAUACAGUAAGCGGCCAAGCGAAAGCAUUAAGUAUUCCACCUGGGGAGUACGCCGGCAACGGUGAAACUCAAAGGAAUUGACGGGGGCCCGCACAAGCGGAGGAACAUGUGGUUUAAUUCGAUGAUACGCGAGGAACCUUACCCGGGCUUAAAUUGCAGUGGAAUGAUGUGGAAACAUGUCAGUGAGCAAUCACCGCUGUGAAGGUGCUGCAUGGUUGUCGUCAGCUCGUGCCGUGAGGUGUCGGCUUAAGUGCCAUAACGAGCGCAACCCUUAUCUUUAGUUACUAACAGGUUAUGCUGAGGACUCUAGAGAGACUGCCGUCGUAAGAUGUGAGGAAGGUGGGGAUGACGUCAAAUCAGCACGGCCCUUACGUCCGGGGCUACACACGUGUUACAAUGGGGGGUACAGAAGGCAGCUAGCGGGUGACCGUAUGCUAAUCCCAAAAUCCUCUCUCAGUUCGGAUCGAAGUCUGCAACCCGACUUCGUGAAGCUGGAUUCGCUAGUAAUCGCGCAUCAGCCACGGCGCGGUGAAUACGUUCCCGGGCCUUGUACACACCGCCCGUCAAGCCAUGGGAGCCGGGGGUACCUGAAGUACGUAACCGCAAGGAUCGUCCUAGGGUAAAACUGGUGACUGGGGCU